rnacentral:rRNA from 1 species
UUGCAUAUCAAAAAAGCGGAGGAAAAGAAACCAACAGGGAUUGCCUUAGUAGCGGCGAGUGAAGCGGCAAAAGCUCAAAUUUGAAAUCUGGCGCCUUCGGUGUCCGAGUUGUAAUUUGAAGAUUGUAACCUUGGGGUUGGCUCUUGUCUAUGUUUCUUGGAACAGGACGUCACAGAGGGUGAGAAUCCCGUGCGAUGAGAUGCCCAAUUCUAUGUAAGGUGCUUUCGAAGAGUCGAGUUGUUUGGGAAUGCAGCUCUAAGUGGGUGGUAAAUUCCAUCUAAAGCUAAAUAUUGGCGAGAGACCGAUAGCGAACAAGUACAGUGAUGGAAAGAUGAAAAGAACUUUGAAAAGAGAGUGAAAAAGUACGUGAAAUUGUUGAAAGGGAAGGGUUUGAGAUCAGACUCGAUAUUUUGUGAGCCUUGCCUUCGUGGCGGGGUGACCCGCAGCUUAUCGGGCCAGCAUCGGUUUGGGCGGUAGGAUAAUGGCGUAGGAAUGUGACUUUACUUCGGUGAAGUGUUAUAGCCUGCGUUGAUGCUGCCUGCCUAGACCGAGGACUGCGAUUUUAUCAAGGAUGCUGGCAUAAUGAUCCCAAACCGCCCGUCUUGAACA